rnacentral:lncRNA from 1 species
GGAUGGCAGAACAUCAUGGUGAACAGACGGGGGUAAGGGAUCAGAGGGUAAUCUGGCCAGAGGAACGAAGUUAAAGAUACAGACCAGUGCCCAGUGUUGGUGGAGAAUACCGAGAUGUGGAAGAGAGAUGGGGUGACUGGGACACUACUUUGGAGUGGGCUGGUAAGGUCUUGGCAUUAUCUGCAAGGUGUGAGUGUAAGAGGGCACGUUCAAGAAAUAUGCUAGGUGUGGCGGCUCAUGCCUGUAAUCCUUGCACUUUGGGAAGCUGAGAAGGGAGGAUCACUUAAGCCCAGGAGUUCAAGACCAGUCUGAACAACAUGGUGAGACCCCAUUU